GUGGGGAAUUUUGGACAAUGGGGGAAACCCUGACCCAGCGACGCCACGUGAGGGAAGAAGGCCUUAGGGUCGUAAACCUCUGUUGUGUGGGAAGAAGAGCGUGACGGUACCACACGAGGAAGUCCCGGCUAACUACGUGCCAGCAGCCGCGGUAAUACGUAGGGGACGAGCGUUGUCCGGAUUUACUGGGCGUAAAGGGCGCGUAGGCGGUCAUUUAAGUCAGCUGGGAAAUGGUUUGGCUUAACCGGAUCAUGCGGUUGAAACUGGAUGACUGGAGUGCUGGAGAGGCAAGUGGAAUUCCCAGUGUAGCGGUGAAAUGCGUAGAUAUUGGGAAGAACACCGGUGGCGAAGGCGACUUGCUGGCCAGCAACUGACGCUGAGGCGCGAAAGCCAGGGGAGCAAACGGGAUUAGAAACCCUAGUAGUCC
rnacentral:rRNA from 1 species